AAAGUUUUAAGUUAAAUAAACUAAUAGCCUUCAAAGCUAUAAUUAUAAGAUUAAUCUUUUAAGCUUUA
rnacentral:tRNA from 1 species